CUAAUUAAUUUUUAUCGUAAUUGUAAACAGUAAAUAAUAAAAGUUUAUCAAGCAUUCAUAAUAGAUUUUUUUUGUUAUGGCUCAAGCGAAUCGAGCUCUUUUCUCGGCGCGUUCUCAUUCGCAUAAUUUGAAAAAUUAAUACCUUGAUUAUUGGUGGACUCAACCCGAGACUUAACCCAAGACAGUAUUGGACUUUUAUGUUCAUCUCGAUCUCUUUUACCUUUUUACGAGUAAUGGUCCACGUGCGUUGAGACACCCUGUAUAUAUACAUAUAAAAUUAACUUUAACAUGCAAAUUUAAUUGUAAAUUUACCGCAACAAGUGGCUCUUCUAGAAGUCUGCCAAGAUAUUUCUUUUGCUGUUCUUUUGUUCCAGCUAUGAUAACUGGAGUUUGCUAAAUAGAAGGAACUGAGUGAAGAAACAAAAAGCAAAUUUUCACAAUGCAAUAGUGAUAUAAAACCUUCGGUAUGUAUAAUAUACUUUUAGUUAAAAAAAUAUAUGUUACAUAUUAUAUACUUUUUCGGUAUAUAUUAUAUUCAUCAAGGCUUUUGUUUUAGUUUGAUAGACAUCGUAUGCAUCGAAAAAUUAUCCAAUAGAUGAAUCAUUAAAUGCAACAUUAACUGAAGACUUUGAUUGGACAUAACACUGACAAGCAGAGUACAUCAAAUAAUUUAUCAGAUGCAUCUAGUAAUGAUGAAGAUAAUAUAAAUCCUUCAAUUAAUAAAUGUAUCAUUAGUAAAGAAAAAAAAUUAAAGAAAAAUAAUAAUGCUGAAAAUGAAUUUUAAAAAAUUUUAUACGCUAUUAAUUGUUCUACAGCAGUUCAAAAUACGGUAAUAUUUUUAUGCAAAAUAUUUUAUACAUAUUUUGUUAAUUUUAUUAAUUUUAUUAAAUAUUCUAAACAUAUGUUUUUGUCAUUUUUAAUAGGAUUUUAAAAAAUUGUUACAAAACUUUGUUGACAGCUAAAUUAUUAUAAAAUUUUAUGAAUACCAUGACAUACUUGAAGCUAAACGUAGAAAAUUAACUGAUCUUGAUUUUACUUAAUUUAUGUUUCAAAAAUCUGAAAACGAGACAGAAA
rnacentral:lncRNA from 1 species